GAAGCAGAGAAGAGCCGCAACACCUGUUACAAAUCUCACCCACUCCGCAACAUCCUCGCCGAACGUGCCUCAAGCUGCACCACCUACGGCCACCAUGGACUCGCCAGUUUCUCCAGCACCAGCAGUCACACCCCCACUGAAGGAACCUGAAAGCACAGAUGGGACAAAUGAACCCAAACAGCUGCAAGGAGUUGAGGUGAUGCAGGUGAAUGCCCGAAGGAGAUCAGCUGCUAAAAAACCCAUGACGGACAUUCUCUUCAAUUGCUGUUUCUGCACCCAAGUCACUGGGGAUCACCGUGGAAUCCUCACUCAUCUGGUUGACCACGGUGAUGAGCAACUCAAGUGCUAGCAGUUGUUGUUGUUGUUUUCCAAAGAGGAAGAAUUAAGGUGCCACGCUGAGAUUCACAAGCCAAAAAGAAGUUUUGGGUGUCAACUAUGCCCAGCAGCAUUCCGAAAAAAUAGUCCAUUGGCCAAUCACAUUGAAGCCCACACUGGUGAAAAUCCUUCAGCAAUGCGUGUAAACUCUUUCUCGGUGUAGUUGCCUGAGCUCUCACAUGCAAGACCGGACUAGCAAAAAGCCUUUCAAAUGUGAGCUACGUCCUCAACUCUUUAGUGCAAAUGCAAAUCUGACGUGCCACAUUCGAAUCACAUAAGCAGGACUCCUGACAAUUGCAAGCAGUGUCCCCAAACCUUUAGUGGCAUUCACAAGCUAACUUGCCACAUUUCAAGUCACACAGGGGAGACAUUUUACAAAUGUGAGCUAUGGUAUGCACUCAAGACUUUAGUUGUAGAGGAAAUCUGACAUGGCACAUUCAAACGUACACAGGUGAAAGACCUUGCCUUACACAGGCGAAAGAACCCCCAAGCCUUUAUCGUAGCGUAGGGCUGACUAUCCACGUUCGAACACACACGGGCGAAAACCUUACAGAUGUGAGAUGAGAUGUGUCCCAAAGCCUUUAUUCAAAGUGAGAAGCUGACCUGCCAUAUUCGAAAGCACAAUAGUGAAAGACAAGUGCGAGUGAAGUCCCCUCUUUUUCGUGCGUUUGGGAGGCUGAUUCAACACAUUCAAAAGUAUGUGUUAUGUACUUCGGAUACUUCAGGGUUCGGGUAUAACAUAAUACUUUAUUAACAACAAGCGGCCGGAAUGGCAGCAGCCUUCCUUGACGCGGUUCCAGAGUCGGCUCCUUCUGAUGAGAGUUUCUUAGGCUUCCUCGGCGCAGUCGUUGCAGUGCGGGUCGGUGGCACCAUCUAGUGAGGGCGUACACAGCACUCCUCCCUUCUUAAUGAAGGCUACCUUCUUAUUGAAGGUUACUUAUGUGAAUCUUAGAAGCUUGCGGACGGUUCGUGGGGGUCGUCCCAUAUUGGGUGUCCUUGAGGUCUUCACUGUCCUUGCUUCGCUCGUUGCGUAGCCUUGGUCCUUGUCGGGUGGUAGUUGUUCCCCAGGACUUGAUGCUAAAGUGGUCAAGUGUGGCUUUACUUGGUCUUUGUGGCGGCGCACUUGCCCUUGCGGAGUUGACACAGUAACAAUGGAUGUUCCGCUGGUGUUGUCACCCUCACCCAACCACCAUCGAGGUCCCUUGCCGAAAUUGCGAACUGCUACCUUGUUCCCUUUCUUGUGGCGUAGUCCCUUUUCCUUUUCUUGCUCGGCCCGUUGCCUAGAUUCUGUCGGCAAUUGCUUUAGGAUUGCCUCUUCACUCCUCCUGGGAAUACAGAGGUCCAGUCCUGCUUUCAUUGGAUAAGCCAGCAUCUGCUUUGCUGGAGACAUUUCGCUCAAACGGGGUGCUCGGCGAUACAUGAGCAACCAUUGAGCAAGUCGGAGCUUGAGGUGUCUUCCCUCUGUUUUCUUGAGUCCACCCUUGACCGUGCAAACAGCUCGUUCUGCUAAGCCUUUAGGUGCUGGAUGAAAAGGGGCAGUUCAGAGAUGCUUGAUCCCAUUUCCUUGAACGAAGUCUUGGAAGGGCUGGCCAGUGAAUGGAGUUCCAUUGUCUGUUACAAUGGACCUUGGUAGUCCGAACCUUGCAAAAAUGUCACGUAGGUGUUCUACGGUUUGCUCAAAUGUGGCACUUGCCACAAUAAUGACUUCAAGCCAUUUUGACUUCGCAUCUACCAACACCUGUAGCAUCCUCCCCUCGAAUGGUCCUGCGUAGUCGAGAUGGAGACGCUCCCAGCAUUCCUUUGGUUCGGGCCAGGGUACCGGUUCUGCUUUUGGUGGCAUUGGGGAGUUCUGGAGGCACUGCGAACAUUGUCGUGAACAGCGCUCUACUUAUGCGUCCAUGUUCGGCCACCACACAAGAGAUCUCGCCAUACCUUUCAUGACCACCAUUCCCUGGUGAGUUUCAUGCAGCAGGUCUAAGAUGUGUUGGCGUACAGGGGUUGGCACAACCACUCGGGUUUCCUCGGUACAGGAGAUUCCGAUGCACGCUUAGCUUAUCAUGUCUGUUCCCCGGGGAAUCGGUGGCCGAGUGGACUAAAGUGCACACCCAGCUCGACGCACGUGGAGCGAAAGCUCGCGCUGCAGAACCCAGGGAUCCUGGGUUCGAGCCCCACCCUGCCCGUUUCGAUCUGGAUGAGCAUCGUACCGGUGUGCGGUCGUGUAUCACUACUGCGUGAGCACGUUAAAGACCCCAGGUUAGCAGUCGUACUGCACUGGCGAAAUUGCUCAUCUACAGUGUAAACCAGUGUCGCCCCUACUGGCAGACCGACCUUACGCUGUAUAUAUCACUAAAACGUCCAAGUUGACUUUUUGACGUCUCUUCCAAAAUGGUUGUAGUGAUUUGUCCGGAGGCUUUUGUGGCCAUCCUUCUUCCUCCCACUGUAGCACUUGGCUUAAGUCCUUGUCGCUGCUUGUGAAUUGUUGUAGUUGCUUGACUGAAAUCUCCAGCUUUUCUAAGCUCGAGACUAAGUUGACCAGUUCCGGAGGAUCUGUAUCUGCCGUCUUCAAGGGCAGCCUGCUCAUGGCAUCGGCAUUUCGGUUGAGACGUCCUGGUCGGUGCUCGACGCUGUACCUGUAGGCUCCAAGAGUAAGAGCCCAGUGUUGGAUGCGCGAGGCUGUCAUGGCUGGAAUUGCCUUGUCUUCCUGAAAAAUCCCCACAAGUGGCUUGUGGUCAGUGAUGGGCACAAAACUUCGACACAGCAGGUAGUCUCUGAGCCGUGUGACACCAAAAAUAAUGGCCAGUGCUUCCUUUUCUAACUGUGAGUAAUUCCUCCCGGCCGGUGUCAGAGUCCGGGACGCGAAUGCGAGUGGCGACUCCACGCCAUCCUUCCGAUGCGAGUGCUCAGCAGCCACACCAUACGGUGAGGCGUCGCAUGCCAGAACAAGCUCUUUUGAUGGGUCAUAGUGGGUCAGGGCCCUUGCCUUCAUGAUGGCAUUCUUGCUUUUGCCGAAGGCUUUUCGUUCAGUGUCUGUCCAUUGCCAGCAGGUGUUCUUGCGCAUUAGGGCGUACAAGGGUGCAAGCACUGUGGACAGAUUCGGAAUAAACUUGCCGUAGUACGAAAGAAGUCCAAUAUCACUGACAGUUCACUGACAUCCCUGGGUUCAGGUGCUUCAAUGAUAGCUUCUGCAUUUUUCUUUGAAGGCUUCAGCCCCUCUGCGUUUAUCUCAUGGCCCAGAUAGCAGAGUGAUUCUUUGAAGAACUCACAUUUCUCUCGCCUGAGCUUCAGCCAAGCGAGACUUGCGAAGAACUUUCUUUAGGUUCUCUAGAUGUUUUGCAUUGGUCUUUCCAGUCACCAGAACAUCAUCCAGGUACACAGAUAUGCCUGGAAUUCCCUGCAGGGUAUCUUCCAUUCUUCUUUGGAACAGUGCCGGAGCCGAGGACACGCCAAAUGCUAAACGGUUGUAAGCAAACAGUUUUCGGUGUGUGUUGAUGACCAGGAGCUUGCUGGUUUCUUUAUCAAUGAGUACUUGGUUGUAUGCUUCACGGAAGUCUAGUUUAGAAAACUUGACUCCUCCUUGCAGAGAAGUGAAGAUGUUUUCCACUUUUGGCAGUGGGUACUCGGUUGUCAUCACUGCAGGAGUCACACCUAACUUGUAGUCCCCGCAAAUCCUGACACUUUUGCCAUCGGCUUCUAUCAGUAGUACGACAGGGGAUGCCCAAACAGAGUGGUCUACGGCCGCAAUGAUGCCUUCUUCUCCAAGUUGUUGGAGUUUCAGUUCCACCUUGUCCCUCAGUGCAUAUGGUACUGAGCGGGCUCUGUAGUACCGUGGUUGGGCGUCGGGUAGAACGUCCAUAUGCACCGGUGGUCCUUUGAAUACACUGCAACUUGGUUUGAAGACCUUUUAAAAUUCCUGGAGUGUUUCCAGUACCCCUCGGUCGGUUGCAGUUUCUCCUAGUUGAGUGGAGUUUACUUGCCGUGGAAGCAGGUCAAAUACUAUCUAGUGAAGGCGUACACAGCAGUAUGAGACACUAGAAAUGGUAUGUCCCAUAACUUGUCUAGGUCAGCUGCACCGAGGAAAGUUUUUAUGAGAAAAUAGCCAGGAAAUUCGCAAAUCUCAGCAGUCGGUGUUUUGCUCCGGGACAUAAAAAUGCACAGAGAAGGCCUUGCCUAUGUCAACAGUUUUCACAAGGCUUUCUUUACAUAACAUAGACAAUUGGACAAGUUGAUUCAUCAUUUGAAGUACAAACAGCACAAGGACACAGACAGUCAAAGAGGGCAGACAGUGCUGGUGUUUGUUUGUCCAUUUUACCCUGUUAGUGUUUUUCUGCUGUAUGUGCUUUCUGUACAAUGCUGCUUUCUAGCCACUAGAAGUUGUGCUAGGAGAGGAGGUGGAUUUUUAGUAAUGCAUUACCUUUAAUUAUAAUGCAGAUGCCAAACAGCCCUCACUAACCGUCUGAGCCUGAUAGAUCUUGGUGGCCCUUAUUUAGAAAGGAAGCAGGCCUACCUGAAUACUUUGCGUUGAAAGCAUCUGUGCGGGUGCCUGAGGAUUUUCGUGCCUAAGGGGGCACCUCGGGCAUGCCGUAACUAUUGUAAAAAGGAUUUUAAUGUGACUUUGUAAGUUUCAAUUAUAUGUAGACUUUUGGUGUUGGAAAGAUGUAUAGUUGUGUCUCACUAAUAUGAACACCUCUGUUCUUCCCAAAACUGUCCAUAAUGCGAGUUCUCAGUAAUGAUGAUACAAAAAUGUAUGUGCGAGGUGUGACCAAAUUGUUCCGGGACUGAUUUUAUAGCGUAAAAAGAGAGGGCAGCACAGUGACGCGCGGGCAGCAGUCGGAAGGCGGGGGCUUUCCUGCGUCAUUAUGCCAAAUGGCGUCACUCUGUAACCUUUUGGAACUGCGCUACACGAGUUUGUUUGACCACAUGCACAAGCAUAACGGCGAUCUCUCCACAGGCUGCAAACCAAAGUGAGAGCGAACAUGAAUUUUACGUCAAACUCGGCAAAUAAAAAAUAGAUACCUCUGAAAUGAUAUACUAGAAGGCUUAUGUCAAAAAGCAGUGAGGUGUGCGAGGUGUUUUGAGUGGCACUCGCGCCUCAAGAAUGGCAGAAUGUCACUGAAGUCAAGAUGUCGGAUGAGGUCACCCCACCGCUCUUCGUCUUCUAGCGAUGUUCAGCCGUUCCUGAAGCAAGAGUGUCGCCUAAAACACUUCACAAAAAGCUUUUACCUUUCCACUUUGGUGAAGAAGGAAGACCAGCGAAGCUGUACUAUGGUGGGAAUGAAGUAAUGGCCGUCCAGAAGUUGGCAAGCCAGAGUGGAAAGGUUGCCGCCAUCUAUGAGUGAAGGCGGCAAGCAGAGUGUUGUGUCGACAUUUGUUUGGUACCGGACACCAUCCUGGGGAACUUAACAACUCCGCUGUAAUUCACUGCUUUUUGCCACAAGCCUGCUGAAGCAUUUGUAAGGUUUCUGUUUUAUAUUUGCCGAGUUUGAUGCAGAAUUGAUGGUCGCUCUUGCUUUGGUUUGCAGUGUAGGGUGAAAUCACCAUUCUGCCCGUGCACAUGGUCACAAAAGCUCGCGUAGCGCAGCUCCAAAUGUUCACAGAGCGACGCCUUUUGGUAUAACAAGACACAAAAGUCCCUUCCUUCAACUGCAACGCGCGCAUCGCUGUGCUGCCCUCUCUUUUUACGCUUCAAAAUCAGUCCCCGAAUUUUUUGUCACACCUCAUACUUACCAAGUUGUCCCCAAAAACAGUUUCCAUAUAUUAGCGGGGUAUUCAUAUUUAUGAGGCACAUAUUAACGAGACAUCACUGUAUUACAAAAUGAUUUGGAGAAUAAAUGUGUUAAAACUCU